AGAGCUUAGGCAAGCGAGUGCUUUCAGGAGUAUUUAGAAUACCUUUCUUCAUGUCCCACAGAGUGUGAAAACUUAGUCAGGCAGAUGCUACUAGUCGAUGCGGAGAAGCGAGCGACAGUGGAGCAGAUUGCCAGCCACAGCUGGAUGCGGGCCGACCACGAGGACCCGGACUAUGAGAAGUUGCUAGCCGACAUCUCCAGUCUGAACGUGGACACGGUGACGCAGUGGAACGACGCUGUGCUGGCUCACAUGCAGUCGCUGGGGUUCGCCCGGGAAGCCGUCA